rnacentral:rRNA from 1 species
UUAGGAAUAUUGGGCAAUGGAGGAAACUCUGACCCAGCAACGCCGCGUGAAGGAUGAAGGUUUUCGGAUUGUAAACUUCUGAUCUGUGGGAAAAAACAAAUGAUGGUACCACAGGAGAAAGCUCCGGCAAACUACGUGCCAGCAGCCGCGGUAAUACGUAGGGAGCAAGCGUUGUCCGGAAUGACUGGGCGUAAAGGGAGCGUAGGUGGCCUUUUAAGUGAAAUGUGAAAGCCCGGGGCUCAACUCCGGAAUGUCAUUUCAUACUGGAAGGCUGGAGUGCAGGAGAGGUAAGCGGAAUUCCUAGUGUAGCGGUAAAAUGCGUAGAUAUUAGGAAGAACACCAGAGGCGAAGGCGGCUUGCUGGACUGUAACUGACACUGAGGCUCGAAAGCGUGGGGAGCAAACAGG